rnacentral:rRNA from 1 species
CCUACGGGCGGCAGCAGUGAGGAAUAUUGGUCAAUGGGCGCGAGCCUGAACCAGCCAAGCCGCGUGAGGGAAGACGGUCCUAUGGAUUGUAAACCUCUUUUGUCGGGGAGCAAAAGACGCCACGCGUGGCGUUCCGAGAGUACCCGAAGAAAAAGCAUCGGCUAACUCCGUGCCAGCAGCCGCGGUAAUACGGAGGAUGCGAGCGUUAUCCGGAUUUAUUGGGUUUAAAGGGUGCGCAGGCGGAAGAUCAAGUCAGUGGUAAAAUUGAGAGGCUCAACCUCUUCGAGCCGUUGAAACUGGUUGUCUUGAGUGAGCGAGAAGUAUGCGGAAUGCGUGGUGUAGCGGUGAAAUGCAUAGAUAUCACGCAGAACUCCGAUUGCGAAGGCAGCAUACCGGCGCGCAACUGACGCUCAUGCACGAAAGUGUGGGUAUCGAACAGGAUUAGAUACCCCUGUAGUC